GGACAGUGAAGCUGAUUCAAGAAACAGGCAAUGCCACAAAGGAUGCAAGCUACCCAAGCCCGGCUGUGGAUGAGGCAGUUCUUAGGAGUUGAGGCAGCCCUGCAGGAGGUCCUCUGCUAUUAAGAACUCAUGUCCUACAGCUGGGGACCAAGUACUUUUUUGAACUGGGAAUUGAGUGGAGCACUUCUGUGGCUACCGAGUCUGCUUUUUGUGCUUGUCAUAGCUACCUCUCCAUAUCGGAAGAAAAGUUCCUCCAAGAUUCUGGUGCCCCUUUCAUCCUGUCAAAGACAGGAAGAGGGACAUUGAGAAGGAAAACUGUGAUCUUCACCUCCUGUAGUUUGUUUAAUGCUCUUAGUAAAUAUUUAUCAUUAAACUCUCCUAAUUAUUUAUUCUACUUAUCUGUGGCCUCCACUGGCUAUUGUGGCUCAUCUGGUGGCCUAGUCGUCACCCUCAUACCUGAGGAGCUGAGCAUUAAGUUACCAUGUACAUCUAUGGCUAUGUUGGCUUAAUCUGUUCAUUUAAAUUCACAGUUAGACAAGGGAGUCCCAGAAAAAUUCAAGUGAAAUCCCUGGGAUUCACACAUAAUCCUUUGUGUUUCCAUUGUGCAACAGUAGCAUCCUAGUGAUCAGAAUCAGUUUCCUCUGCCAACGUGAUGACUCCUCUCCUUGACUCCUGGUCCUUAGAUUUAAGGAUCCCGAAGUUCCCAAACAGCAGCCACAACUACAAGUGAAUGGAAUUCUUGCAAUGCACCCUGGCAAAGUCAAUUUUGGGGCCGGAAGCCCUAAUUCUGCUCAGUCCAGGGUUGCAAGACGGAAAGCAAAUUGCUCCCUGAUGAGGCAUUAAGCAUGACAGGAAAUGGUGCUACUCCUACUUCCAUCCCUUAGCAUGUAGGCUUUAUUCAUACCUUGGACAGAGCAUAAUACAAAUUCAUUUGAUUCUAUUAUAUCUGGCUUCCUGGAGGACAGCCCUCAUCCUUGAAGAAUAGUGCCUGUAUGCUAGGACUUUAACUGUGCCUCCAGCAGGCAAUCCCAACCCUAUUACACUAGCUGCUGCUGGAUGGUGUGUGUUCUCAAUAUACAGGAAGAAAACAAGCCUGUAAGAUGAAAUACUUCUACCUGGUUAAUAAAUACAGAAAUCGAUUCUUCCUCCAUUGAAGUCUAUCUUUUCCAAUGGGACCAAUCCACAUGCAGAUGCAAAGGCACUCAUGUUUGCUCAACAUGUAGAAACAAGAAAAUCACACAGAGCAAGAGUGACAGAAAUGUAAGAUGCUAUGGAAUUAUAAAAGAAUCAUGUUUGACUAAGAUGUUGUAAAUGAACUUCUUGUAACAAAAAAGCCAUUUGAACACAAAUUACUGAGCAUCACUGGUCGGAGAGAUCAUUUAUCACUUCUUAAUAAAUGAUCAGACAAUGACCUCAAACCUACGUAAGUCUAAAACAGGGCUUUGAGUUGCUGCUAAAGUGACAAAUUUGAAAAUCUGAUUCACUGUAAUGAAGAUUGAAAACAUAGGUACAAAAACUGAAUGUGAGAAACUGAGUGACUAGCCCGCUUAUCCAAGACCCUUAAGAGGUCUGUGGUUAUCUGAAGUUAAUCGUGGUCUCUGGUUAUCGGUAAAGGCAUAAAUCAGCUCUCUUUAAAAUAGCUUUCCUAAACUAGGCACAAGUGAUUUUUCAGAUUAAGAUUCAGCAGAAAGCUCAUAAUUUAAGAUAGUACAAAGCAAGAGCUUGUAUGUGGAGAAUUAAUAAAUAAGAAAUGUAGUCACCACAACAACUGUAGUUAUUGGAGUUUUCAGAAUGAGAAUAUAGCAAAAUUUUCUAUGAAAUAUAAAAAGACAGAAAAUUUAAUAUAAGAUAAAUAUAUAAUAAAAACUAUCUGAAAAGAAAAGAGAUUUGGGGAAAAAUUAGAACUUCUACGUAUGAAAAACAUAACUAUUAAAAGCAUACUACAUGUUAAACUGAUGAUUAAAUGCAGUUGAGAAGAUAAUUCAUGAGAUGGAAAAUACAAUUGAACAAAUUAACCCUUAGGGAAUAAAAAUAAAAAUAAAGAAAUUAAAGUAUAUACAAAAAAAUCUGGACAAUAUCAAAUAAGAUAGAAUAAGAAGGUUGAGCAUUCAUCUAAUAAGAAGCUCGUAGGAAGAGACAGAAUGAAUGAGAUAUACUAUUCAAAGAUACAAUGAGUACAAAUUUUUCAAAAAUUUUCUUGGAAUUUUAAUGAAUAUCAAGCAGAAUAAAACAAAUAAAAUCUUAUGUGAACAUAUUUUGGAGAAAUUUCUAAAGAACAAAUGCAAAGACAAAAACUUAAAAGACUCAGAUAAAAACAUUGAGAGUGAUAAACUUACUAUAACUAGAGAGAUAUAUAGAUGAUAGAUGAUAGAUAGAUAGAGAUGGAUGAUAGAAUGGAAUGACAAUUUAGAGAUUUUAGAAACGUUAAAAAAUGUUAAGUAAAAAUCACUGCCAACAUAAUAUUGUAAACUCGAGAAAAUACAAGAGUGAAAAGCAGAUUUUACAGAUAAAGGAGAGAAAGAGAAAGAUUGCUGAAAAUAGAAUUAUUCAAAGAAUUUUUACAAAAUGCUCUGUAAGAAGAAAAAUCAAGAAAUAUAGUCUUAAUUACAGAAAAUAAUAUAAAUAAAUGCAACCUUAAAUAUGAACAUGCAUAAAUACUAACAUUCUUUCUUGCAAAGAAAAAAAACAACUAAUUUUCUUCCAGGUUUUCAGUUUUGGGUUUGACAUUUAAAACUUUAAUCCAUCUUGAGUUAAAUUUUAUAUGGUUUAAAGAAGGGGUCCAGUUUCAAUCUUCUGCAUAUGGCUAGCCAGUUAUCCCAGCAUACCAUUUAUUGAAUAGGGAAUCCUUUACCUAUUGCUUGUUUUUGUCAGGUUUGUUGAAGAUCAGAAAAUUGUAGGUGUGCAGUCUUAUUUCUGGGUGCUCUAUUCUGUUCCAUUGGUCAAUGUGUCUGUUUUUGUAUCAGUACCAUGCUGUUUGGGUUACUGUAGCCCUGGAGUAUAGCUUGAAGGAGAUCAUUAUCCCUAGCAAACUAACACAGGAACAGAAAACCAAAUACUGCAUGUUAUCACUAAUAAGUGGGAGCUUAAUGAUGGGAACACAUGGACACAUAGAAAGGAACAACAGACACUGGGCCUUUCAGAGGGAGGAAAGAGGGAGAGGAUAAGGAAAAAUAACUAAUGGGUCCUCGGCUUAAUACUUGGGUAAUGAAAUAAUCUGUACAACAAACUCUCAUGAAACAAGUUUACCUAUGAAACAAACCUGCGUUGUACCCCUAAACUUGAAAUAAAAUUUAUAAACAAAUAAACAAAAAGAAAUGAAUGAAAAGAGAAAAAAAAUACUGAGUAAAAAUAAACAGUAGGUGUUUUUAAGGAAUGAGAUUUUUUGUGUUUUUUUCCGUCUUUACAUUUGUUAUUAUUUAAACACUUCCCAAUGAACAUGCACUACUUGUGUAAUAAAUGUAACUAUUAUUCACAUUUAGUUGACUAUGUUUUAAAACUAACCCAGAGUUUAAUUUUGAUAAUGAUUUUUAAAAGGGAAAAUAACAUAAACUUUUUUCUCUCCUCUUUUCUACUGUGAGAGUGAGCAGUAUUUAUCACACAUACACACACGUCAUAUCUGAAUUCCUCAAAAUGUUAAACAAGUUAUUGCUCUAAAAUUGAUAAGAAAUACAUCAAUCUGUGUAUUUGCUGAUAUAUAUAGUGUAUAAUUUUAAAAUUAUUUCUAUAUUUUAUUCACGUGAAAUUUCUUGAUUCAGUUUAAACUGUUAGUUUUAUGAAAUAUAAUCCACAUCCAUCCUUUUAACUACAAUCACCUGUAUGGGCAACAAUGCAUGUAAGCUUAAUGAGAAACGAGUAUGCAUCCAUACCUGUAGGGGUCAGUUAUUAUUUGCUAUUGUACUCUUUUAUUCAAUACACAAUAAUUUUGUCUAGGAAGGCACACUGAAAAUUUAUAAAAUUUCUACUGAAAAGUGUCUAUUUUACUUACAUCACCAUUUUAGAUUUUCUUUGUUCUCUUUCUUUGCAAUUGAUAACAAAAAAAUUACAAUCAAGGCAUAUGAUAUAUGUUUUUUUCUUCUGUUUUUUGGAAUUAUUUUUCCCCACCUCCAGUAUUACAUUAACUCUAACAUAUACACAGAUAUAUACAGCCAUAGCUGGCUUUGAGCUGGGGAAGGUGUCUACCCUGUCCAUCUCCUUCAUCUAGAAUUCUCAUUUGUCAUACAACCGUCAUCGUCUUUGUUCCAUUAAUUGUUUGAAAGAGAUAAUGUCACAAGAUCUCAGAAUCAAGCUACUUUGUCAAUCUUCCUUUAUCUUAUACAUUUGCCUUCUCUCAGAAACAGAAUUUUAAAAUAAUAACAAGACAGCAAAAACUUUUUCUUUAUCCAGUAAUAGAAUUGGCAGUUUCUAUAAUGAAGGGAAUAUUUUCAGAGGAGGAAAUAUGAGGCCAUGCUACCAAUCAAAAUAGCUAAUAAUUAUAUGUAUAUAUGUCUGUAUAAAAUAUAAUUUCAAAUUGUGUGUUUUGGGGAAAUGCUGAGUUUUAAACAGUUUUAAGUUAUAUGCCUAGGCAUAUAAUAAAAAUGUAUCAAUUGAAUACUCAAUAUAAUUUUAGCUCAUGAAAAAUUGUGUUAUAACUGUGGUAACUGUAAAUAAGUUUUCUGCAAGUUAAACAGAGCAAUGAUAUUCCUUAUGUUCCAGUUAGUAGUGCUGUGAACAAGAGAAAGAUUUCUAGUGCAAUUGAAAAUGCUGAAAACAUUUUCAAAAAAUAUUGUUUGUUGUAUUCAGUUUGUUAUAGCAUUAAUAAAUUUUGCUAUUAUCCAACUUCUCUAAAGUACUUUAAAAAUUUCUAUUUCACUAUUUUAAAAAUAUUGUAACAUCUUCUAGUCUCAAGUAUAAAUUAGUAUAAAUUGUAUGUCAGAAAGCAUUGUCUGUCUCUCACUCUGUGUCUAUGUGCCUAAAUAUAUGUAGAUUUCACUCCAUCUCACUAUGCUACACAUAUACAAGAACAUGUAUAUAUUGAUAGAAAGAGAAAAGUACAUUCCUUCAAGUACAAUUAAAUGACUGGCUAUACUUCCUUGGAAGGGUGACUUGCUAACAUUUCCAAGGUUAGAUUUAUAGAUUUGCAAUGAUUUAAUGCAUAAAGUGCAUUUCCUGGAAAAAUUCAAUUAAUUCCAAUAUUCUCAAAAUCCUUCUUUCUGAGACUUAACAUGUAAAUUUUUUCAUGUUGCCAGUUUUUUAAAUAAAAUAAUAAAAGUUAGCUGCAAAUAAAAUGUAUAUUAAAGAUUGUUGGGUAAUUUUUGUAUGCUAAUAUGCAUUGCAGUUCUUAUUUUUCAAACAAAACAUAUUUAGACUCAAACAUACCUGAUAUUAAAUUUUAAACGUACAUUAUCUCUAAAAAUAAAACAAAAACAAAUUUCAAAUAUAUCAACAACAUCAUAUAUAAAAUACUCAGCUUUCAAAGGCUAUUUUGGGGGGAGGAGCCAAGAUGGCCGAAUAGGAACAGCUCGGUCUACAGCUCCAAGCGUGAGCGACGCAGAAGAUGGGUGAUUUCUGCAUUUCCAUCUGAGGUACCGGGUUCAUCUCACUAGGGAGUGCCAGACAGUGGGCGCAGGUCAGUGGGUGCGCCGUGCGCGAGCCGAAGC
rnacentral:lncRNA from 10 species